GGCUGGUCUGAAGGUAGUGAGUUAUCUCAAUUGAUUGUUCACAGUCAGUUACAGAUAGAACUCCUCGUUCUACUCUUCCCCUCUUCUCACUACUGCACUUGACUAGUCUAAAAAAAAA
rnacentral:Y_RNA from 1 species